rnacentral:ncRNA from 2 species
AACAACUUUAUUCGGAUUCCUUAUAUAAAUGUGGUGAUAUGGUCCACAAGUUUCUACCUAGCUACCGUAAAUGGCUAGACUAUAAGGAAAGACUAGUAGAUG